rnacentral:misc_RNA from 1 species
UCUGCGAGUUCGCGGGAGAGUAAGUUAUUGCCAGSGUYUUUAUUUUGUACUUCAAACUUUAAAUUUAUUUUUUAUGUUUUUUAAAUAUUCAUGUUUUUGAAUGUUUUAUUCAAAUAAUGUAAAAAAUAAAAUAGAUAUUGACAUGGAUUAAACAAAGAUAUAUAUUAUUUUAUGUUGCAUAAACAAAUUGGCAAAAUAGAGAUGGAAGAUAAAAAUAUGGUCAAAGURAUAAGAGUCUAUGGUGAAUGCCUAGGAAGA